GAAAGGGAAACAGCCCAGACCACCAGUUAAGGUCCCCAAAUAUAUGUUAAGUGGAAAAGGAUGUGGGGUUGCUUAGACAACCAGGAUGUUGGCUUAGAAGCAGCCACCAUUGAAAGAGUGCGUAAUAGCUCACUGGUCGAGUGACCCCGCGCCGAAAAUGUACCGGGGCUAAACAUAUUACCGAAACUGUGGAUGAACCUCUUUAGAGGUUCGUGGUAGGAGAGCGUUCUAAGGGCGGUGAAGUCAGACCGGAAGGACUGGUGGAGCGCUUAGAAGUGAGAAUGCCGGUAUGAGUAGCGAAAGAAGGGUGAGAAUCCCUUCCACCGAAUAUCUAAGGUUUCCUGAGGAAGGCUCGUCCGCUCAGGGUUAGUCGGGACCUAAGCCGAGGCCGAUAGGCGUAGGCGAUGGACAACAGGUAGAGAUUCCUGUACCAGUGCUAAUUGUUUAACCGAUGGGGUGACACAGAAGGAUAGGGAAUCGCACGAAUGGAAAUGUGCGUCCAAGCAGUGAGUGUGAGAAGUAGGCAAAUCCGCUUCUCGCGAAGCAUGAGCUGUGAUGGGGAAGGAAAUUAAGUACGGAAGUUCCUGAUUUCACGCUGUCAAGAAAAGCCUCUAGGAAGAGUAGUACUGCCCGUACCGCAAACCGACACAGGUAGAUGAGGAGAGAAUCCUAAGGUGAGCGAGAGAACUCUCGUUAAGGAACUCGGCAAAAUGACCCCGUAACUUCGGGAGAAGGGGUGCUCUAUUAGGGUGCAAGCCCGAGAGAGCCGCAGUGAAUAGGCCCAGGCGACUGUUUAGCAAAAACACAGGUCUCUGCAAAACCGUAAGGUGACGUAUAGGGGCUGACGCCUGCCCGGUGCUGGAAGGUUAAGAGGAGUGCUUAGCUUCGGCGAAGGUACGAAUUGAAGCCCCAGUAAACGGCGGCCGUAACUAUAACGGUCCUAAGGUAGCGAAAUUCCUUGUCGGGUAAGUUCCGACCCGCACGAAAGGCGCAACGAUCUGGGCACUGUCUCAACGAGAGACUCGGUGAAAUUAUAGUACCUGUGAAGAUGCAGGUUACCCGCGACAGGACGGAAAGACCCCGUGGAGCUUUACUGCAACCUGAUAUGGAAUGUUUGUACCGCUUGUACAGGAUAGGUAGGAGCCGAAGAGACGUGUGCGCUAGCAUACGAGGAGGCAAUGGUGGGAUACUACCCUGGCUGUAUGACCAUUCUAACCCGCCACGCUUAGCGCGUGGGGAGACAGUGUCAGGUGGGCAGUUUGACUGGGGCGGUCGCCUCCUAAAGAGUAACGGAGGCGCCCAAAGGUUCCCUCAGAAUGGAUGGAAAUCAUUCGCAGAGUGUAAAGGCACAAGGGAGCUUGACUGCGAGACUGACAAGUCGAGCAGGGACGAAAGUCGGGCUUAGUGAUCCGGUGGUUCCGCAUGGAAGGGCCAUCGCUCAACGGAUAAAAGCUACCCCGGGGAUAACAGGCUUAUCUCCCCCAAGAGUCCACAUCGACGGGGAGGUUUGGCACCUCGAUGUCGGCUCGUCGCAUCCUGGGGCUGUAGUCGGUCCCAAGGGUUGGGCUGUUCGCCCAUUAAAGCGGCACGCGAGCUGGGUUCAGAACGUCGUGAGACAGUUCGGUCCCUAUCCGUCGCGGGCGCAGGAAAUUUGAGAGGAGCUGUCCUUAGUACGAGAGGACCGGGAUGGACACACCGCUGGUGUACCAGUUGUUCCGCCAGGAGCAUCGCUGGGUAGCUAUGUGUGGCAGGGAUAAACGCUGAAAGCAUCUAAGCGUGAAGCCCCCCUCAAGAUGAGAUUUCCCAUUUCUUCGGAAAGUAAGAUCCCUGAAAGAUGAUCAGGUAGAUAGGUUUGGAGUGGAAGUGUAGCGAUACAUGGAGCGGACAAAUACUAAUCGAUCGAGGACUUAACCAA
rnacentral:rRNA from 1 species